rnacentral:rRNA from 1 species
UACGUAGGGGGCGAGCGUUGUCCGGAGUACUGGCGUAAAGCGCACGCAGGCGGUCUCUUAAGUUUGGAGUUGACAGUUGGUGGCUUAACUGCCAAAGUGCUUCGAAAACUGAGAGACUUGAGGGCUUCAGAGGGACACGGAAUUCCGGGUGGAGUGGUGAAAUGCGUAGAGAUCAGGAGGAACACCAACAGCGAAGGCAGAUCUCUGGGACGUUACUGACGCUGAGACGCGAAAGCGUGGGGAGCAAACAGG